CAGCAGCCGCGGGAAUACGUAGGGUGCAAGCGUUAAUCGGAAUUACUGGGCGUAAAGCGUGCGCAGGCGGUUAUAUAAGUCAGAUGUGAAAUCCCCGGGCUCAACCUGGGAACUGCAUUUGAGACUGUAUGGCUAGAGUGUGUCAGAGGGGGGUAGAAUUCCACGUGUAGCAGUGAAAUGCGUAGAUAUGUGGAGGAAUACCGAUGGCGAAGGCAGCCCCCUGGGAUAACACUGACGCUCAUGCACGAAAGCGUGGGGAGCAAACAGGAUUAGAUACCCCUGUAGUCCCUGUCUCUUAUAC
rnacentral:rRNA from 1 species